AUCUAUGGCCAUGCUACCCUGAACAAGCCCCAUCCCAUCUGAUCUCGGAAGCUAAGCUGAGUGAGUCCUGGUUAGUACUUGGAUGAGAGAUCACCUAGGAAGAUCAGGUGCUGAAGGCG
rfam:Pteropus alecto contig61415, whole genome shotgun sequence.